rnacentral:rRNA from 1 species
UGGGGAAUAUUGGACAAUGGGCGAAAGCCUGAUCCAGCCAUGCCGCGUGUGUGAAGAAGGUCUUCGGAUUGUAAAGCACUUUAAGUUGGGAGGAAGGGCAUUAACCUAAUACGUUAGUGUUUUGACGUUACCGACAGAAUAAGCACCGGCUAACUCUGUGCCAGCAGCCGCGGUAAUACAGAGGGUGCAAGCGUUAAUCGGAUUUACUGGGCGUAAAGCGCGCGUAGGUGGUUUGUUAAGUUGGAUGUGAAAUCCCCGGGCUCAACCUGGGAACUGCAUUCAAAACUGACUGGCUAGAGUAUGGUAGAGGGUGGUGGAAUUUACUGUGUAGCGGUGAAAUGCGUAGAUAUAGGAAGGAACACCAGUGGCGAAGGCGACCACCUGGACUAAUACUGACACUGAGGUGCGAAAGCGUGGGGAGCAAACA